GGGGGCGUUUAUGGAUUCGACGGGGAUUGGACGAGCGCGAGCCAGCGGGUAGCAGGGAGUCGUCUGCUUCAUCAACGCUAAAGCCUAUUAAACGGCAAACAACAAACAAACUACGCUGUAGCAGCUUAAUAACCUGCACACGUGCUCUCGCUCUGUAUCGCCCAUGUACCGGGAUGAGGGCCCAACUUUAGUGGGAUACGCUGUCACAUCUCCGCCUGGGGUGUGCUGAAGAAGACAAUCAGGCUGACCUGAACGGAAGCUGGUUACGAAGCGUCUGCUCAGGUGACAUCAAAUUCGUGACUACACCCGUAGAAAGCCGUGUGGCGUGAUCUUCGGACAGGGGUUCAAAUCCCCUCGCCUCCACCA
rfam:Paenibacillus sp. MY03 contig68, whole genome shotgun sequence.